AGAAAGGUCUUCCUUUGCCGUUGGUUCACCCUCCAAUGGCCGCCGCUGCAGCCGGCGCACCGCGCUGAUCCUGGCAGGAGCCAGGAGCCAGGUGCUUUUCCUGGUCUCCCAUGGGGUGCAGGGCCCAAGCACCUGGGCCAUCCUCCACUGCACUCCCUGGCCAUAGCAGAGAGCUGGCCUGGAAGAGCGGCAACCGGGACAGAAUCCGGCGCCCCAACCGGGACUAGAACCCGGUGUGCCGGCGCCGCAAGGUGGAGGAUUAGCCUAUUGAGCCACGGCGCCGGCUAUCGCAGUGCUUUUGAACACAGAUUUCCACAAUAUUCUUGAGGGUAAAUUGAGGGCAGUGUUAUCACUACAUAUAGUUUCCUUUGAGAAGCACACGCAUUUUACCUCCAUUACUUGUCACUCUCAUAAAUUGUCGUAUGCUUGGAGACCUCUGGGAAUGAUCUGCUGACUUGUGCUACAAGUAUUUUAAUGUUGUUAAAAGUCCGCCUUUUUUCUUAACCAGCUAACUCGGGUAUUCAUCAAGUAUUAAUGCUGUGCCUAAAAACUGAUAACUCGGCAACGAAUAUGGAUCUUUUAAUAGGAUUGGAUGUUGAUGCACUGCGCAGUUCAGCCGGUAGAGAACCGCCUGUAAAAUGCUAGGAAAAACAGAACAGAAUUUAAAUUUCUAUUCAUAGUAAGACUGCAUUCUGUCUACACUCACUCGGAUGGACAAAUUAAUACUCUAUUAUUACCAGUGAGUCUUGCCAAGCCUGCACUUCCACAGUCCUCAUACAUGUUGAUUUUGGUGCAUCUUGGUGUUAAAAAAUCCAUUUAUAAAAAAUUUUAUAAUUAAUUUUUUUUAGAUUCAAACGUUUUCACAAAACUUCCAUAAAGACGUUCGCGGGACAACUCGGGAGCUGUGCCUGUGGACUUGCUGUUAGCUGCUUUUGCAGAAUCACCGUCCAGCUCACCAGCGGUGACCUGGUAUUACCAUGUAGUAGUUUGUUCUUACGCUGGGGCUUUACUGCAAACACACACACAUUAACACACACAUUAAACACACACGCGCAAAGAUGGUAGACUAUGAAUAAACAUGGACUGUAGCUGAGGCGUUUCCGCGUGUGGACGGAAUCCCGCACGUGUUAGAUCUGAAAAUUUCCGUAACAGAGCUGACAUUAUCUUAACGAAAAGACGUCGUCCGAGACCACACGCUGCAGUAGCCGCGUCACGAGCCGACACUGCCAGCCACCCAGGGGCGCGGACUCCAGCUCGCCUCCCCCACGCCGGCCAGGGACGCUUUGCCUUUAAGGCUGGUAGGCGGGUGCGGGCACAUACGCUGGCGAGGCAAGUGCUGAUUGGAGGGGCUUGCGGUCAAUCAAGGCCAGAGCGCAGUUACCCCGCCCAGGAGCUCCCUGAGGAAGCAGGAAUUUUAAGGGGGCCCUCCGGUGUUUGUCACGCCCUCUGCCUUUAAGGCCGGCCAUCUGAAAGGGGUGAGGCCCUGUGUAACAGCCGUUCUCUCCUUUCAGUCGUGUCUAUUUUAUUCGUUGACAGCUUUCGUGUUCGGCAUGGAUGGUUCAGGAUUACGGCCAUCUGGUUUGCUUCUUGAGGUUUGCCUGGGGGCGACCUCUGGCUCGCUCUGGCCCGCGGAGAAACGCCUGAGGCGCCCCCUGUCGGCCCGGCGGACGCAGCGCAGCCCCGCCGCCCGCCGGGGCGAGGCUCCCGCCGCGGAGCCUGAUGGGAAACGGCGCCUUGGGAGCUCGCGACGCGCGCUGCGCGGGAACCAGGGAGGCGGUGCUCCCGCGCAUGCGCGGCCUGGUUUUGGCGCGCCAAGCACGGGGCGCGGUCGGCUCCACCGGGUCUGGGGGGCUGCGGGGCGGGGGUCCUGGAGCCCAGCUUUCGGGUGGUCAGCCCCGGCAGCUGCGGCUCGGCGCUUCGGCGCGCCGCCGAGGACGUGAGGCGCCGUCCCGCUCCGAGGACGUGCGCGCCCUGGUGGCGGCCGCGGGGACGGCUCGCCCUGGGCGCUCCGCACAUCCGCCUGCGCCCCGAAAGCCGGUUCUGUGCACGCCCUGGUUGUGUCGUCACGCCCCGCUCCCGUGGCCGUCGGUGCAGACGACAACCUGGGCCCCUGUUUUUACCUCGGGGCUCUGUGGGGUCCCCUCAGAUGGCCCAGUGCCCGUGCGUCCUGGGUUCAAAACACCAACUCUAGGCACAGGGAGUGACCAAGGGGACCUAGCCGGGCUGAGGAGGGAACCAGGAGGCCCACCUGGAGGAGGGAGACCGCCCCAGGGCUUAGCGCAGAGGCGGACAGCAGCCCCUUAGAUGCGCAUGGCUGCUGGAGGCAGCGGGAGGUGACUGACAGGUGUGCCCAGGAGUCUGGAGUAAAGAAACCCCGCCUCUUCGCUUAGGCCCCGCGGGUUCCUUGCUGUUCUCGGAUCUCCAGGAACCGGCCCCGCGGGUGGCUCUGAGAGACGCAGGUGCUUCCUCCAGGCUGAUGGUGUAGAUUCGGAAAGCCGGCGUGCAGGAGAGAGCUCCUGGAUCCCCUAUUGGCCGGAUCUGACGGAUGACCGUCCAGGGCACCCCAGCCACUAGGGGCCCACCCGGGGGCAGCAUUUCCUCAAGAGUUCCAUCAAAGACAGCAGCUGCUGCCAACGCGGCUUUUUAUUUAUUUAUUUUUUUAAUUUGAGAGGUAGGAUUACAGACAGUGAGAGAGGUCCUCCACCAGGCCAUAGCAGAGAGCUGGAUCAGAAGUGGAGCAGCCGGGACUCAAACCGGCGCCCAUGUGGGAUGCCGGCACUGCAGGUGGAGGAUUAACGCACUGUGCCAUGGUGCCAACCCCGCUUCCCAGUUCUCUAGAUGGUGCUUCAAGAGCAUAGGAAAAUGACUGGCUCGCAGAAUGUUCUCACCAGCCAGGCUGUCGCCUGAGUGCACACGUGGUCUUCACCCUCGCUGCUGCCCUGUACCAGCUCCUGCACAUCUGCGCAGUGAUGAAGGCUCCUGUCUUUCAGGUUGUUAAUGCACAAAUCCCAAGUGCUUGGCCUGAUAAAUUGUUCGUGGAUAGCUAUCACCGAGGUCAAGAUAAGGGACAUUUUCUGCAUAUCUCCAAGACUGCUCUUACUCACUCAUACCUGAGGAUUUGUAUGUAUUUGAAAGACAGAGUUCCAGAGAGAGACAGAGACAGAGAAAGUGGUCUUCCAUCUGCUGGUUCACUCUCCAGAUGGCUGCAAUGGCCAGAGCUGCGCCGAUCUGAAACCAGGAGCCAGGAGCUUCUUCCAGGUAUCCCACGUGGGUGCAGGGGCCAAAGGACUCGGGGCAUCUUCUACUGCUAUCCCAGGCCACAGCAGAGAGCUGGAUUGGAAGUGGAGCAGCUGGACUAGAACUGGCGCCCAUAUGGGAUGCCAGGACUUCAGGCCAAGGCUUUAACCUGCUAUGCCACAUCACCGGCCCCACCCCUCGUUUUCUUAUAAAAUCUUGAAUUGUUUUAGUCCAUUUAAAAUUAUUUAACACAUAUACUUACCCACACAUUUUUUAAAAAUGUAUUUAGUUAUUUGAAAAGCAGUGGAAGAUCUUCCAUCCAGUGGUUCACUCCCUCAAUGGCCGCAACAGCUGGGGUUGGGCCAGGCCAGGCUGAAACCAGGAGCCAGGAACUUCUCCUGGACUCCUGCAUGGUGGCCAGGGCCCAGUUACUUUUGCCAUCUUCCUAUGCCUGGAAAUGCAUAUUAGCAAGAAGUUGGAUCAAAAGCAGAGUAGCUGACACUUGAACCAGGCCUCUCCUAGGGGAUGGUGGCGUUGCAAGCAGCGACCACACCAGCUGUGCCACACCAGCUCUUGCAGUUCCAUUUAUUGAAAAGACCUUCUGUUCCCAACAGAAUUGCAGUGCUGUUUUGAUUGAGAAGCAGGUAGCCAUUUAUAUGAGUAUCUCUUUGGAUCCUCAGUUUUAUUGCAGUUUUCCCUUUGGCCUCGUGUUAAUGCCAGUGAGCCUUGGUUCCCCUAGCUUUAUAAAGUGUUCCUGUGUGGGAAUGUAAAUUCCCCACCUUUGUUCUUCAAGAUUGCUGCUCUCAGUCCUUUGUAUUAUGGUGUAAAUUUUGGCAUCAUCUUCCUUCCCCCAACCUCCAAUCUGCUAGAAUUUGAUAUUGAAUUAAAUCUCUGGAUUGAUUUGUUAGAAAAGUCAUAUUAAUACUACCUCUCUGUGGUGUAGCGGGUAAAGCUGCCACCUGCAGUGCCAGCAUCCCAUAUGGGCACCAAUUCGAGUUCUGGCUGCUCUACUUCUGAUCCAGCUCUCUGCUGUGGCCCUGGAGGGCAGUGGAGGAUGGCCCAAGUGCUUGGGUCCUGCACCCACUUGGGAGACCCAGAAGAAGCUCCUCACUCCUGGCUUCGGAUUGGUGCAGCUCUGGCUGUUGCAGCCAUCUGGGGAGUGAGUGAACCAGUGGAUGGAAGACCUCUCUGCCUCUCUGUAACUCUUGCCUUUCAAACAAAUGAAUAAAUCUUAAAAAAAAAAAAAAAUCUACCUCUCUGAACUUAUAAACAUGGUAUUUUUCUUAAUUAACUUACAUCUUUAAUUUUUUUCAGGCAUGUUUCAUGAUUUUCUGUCUGGGUCUUUUGUACUUACUUCGAUAGUUUUUUUCCCUAGAUAUUUGGAAAUUUUUCAUCCUAUUUGGAUGCUGCUGGUAUAUAGACAUAGAGUUGGAUUUUGUAUAUUGAACUUGUAUCCAGUGACCUUGCUGUUUAUUAAUUUUAAUACUGUAUAUGUGAAUUAAUUUAGAUUUUUUUACCUAUACAACAGUAUUAUAUGGAAUUUGUUUCCUAUUUAAAUUUCUUUAAGAUUUAUUUUAUUUAUUUGAAAGACAGAGUUACAUAUAGAGGUAGAGACAGAGAGAGGUCUUCCAUCCACUGGUUCACUCCCUAGAUGGCCGCAACGGCCGGAGCUGCGCCGAUCCGAAGCCAGGAUCCAGGAGCUUCUUCCGAGUCUCCCACGUGGGUGCAGGGGGCCAAAGACUUGGGUCGUCUUCUGCUUUCCCAGGCCAUAGCAGAAAGCUGGAUUGGAAGAGGAGUAGCUGGGAUUCGAACUGGCGCCCGUAUGGGAUGCUGGCACUACAGGCCAGGGCUUUAACCCACUGCGCCAUUGUGUCAGCUCCUCCUAUUUAAAUCUUUUUUUUUUUUGACAGGCAGAGUGGACAGUGAGAGAGACAGAGAGAAAGGUCUUCCUUUUGCCGUUGGUUCACCCUCCAAUGGCUGCAACGGCCGCGCACCGCGCUGAUCCAAAGGCAGGAGCCAGGUGCAUAUCCUGGUCUCCCAUGGGGUGCAGGGCCCAAGUACUUGGGCCAUCCUCCACUGCACUCCCUGGCCACAGCAGAGAGCUGGCCUAGAAGAGGAGCAACUGGGACAGAAUCCGGUGCCCCGACCGGGACUAGAACCCGGUGUGCCGGCGUCGCAGGUGGAGGAUUAGCCUAGUGAGCCGUGGCGCCGGCCCUAUUUAAAUCUUUUAAGAAAAGAUUUAGUUUUUUGAAAGACAGAGAAACAGAGUUUAUUCAUCUGCUAGUUUAUUCCCAGAUGCCUGCAAUAGUCAGGAGUUGGCUAAGCAGAAGCCGGGAGUCCGGAUGCAACUCAACCUGAGGGUCCACAUGCAUGGCAGGAACUCUGGUACCUGAGCAGCCAGCCUUUGCCCUGCCAGAGUGCACGUUAGCAGAGGAAAGUGGAGGGGCCGGGACUCGAACCUGGCACUCCAACAGGAAAUAUGGGCACCCCAAACAACAUAUUAUUAUGUUUUUUUUUAAACUUUUAUUUACUUAUUUGAAAGGCGGGUAACAAAGACAGAGAAGGAGAUAGUGCUGCCCAAAUGGCUGUAGCAGUCAGGAGCCAGGAACUCCAUCUAGAUCUCCCACAUGGGUGGCAGGGCCCCAAACACCUGGGCCAUUUUCUGCCACCUUCCCAGGUAAAUUAGCAGGGACCUGGAUUGGAAGUGGAGCAGCCGGGGCUUGAACUGGCACCUGUUUGGUAUGUUG